CGGUGAGCUGCGGUCACCGGUCGAGUUUGUGUAGCAAGCUACCAAGUUUAAAUAUCAACAGUACUACCACAGCAACAUACCAUUUGAUUUACACUGGAUUUACAUCAUCAUCAAUGUUCUGGUUAGCAAAUACACGCAACAGAGAGAGAGAGAGAGGCAGAAAGACGGAGAGGAGCGGCUGCAUCUACGACUCUCCCUCCAACCCAACUCCAUCCUUUCCUCAGUCGGUAUCAGCAACACAGAGUUCCCAGUUGUCUUGAAAGCACCAUGAAUCCAGAGAAUGCAAGACUUUGAUGACAAAGUUUGCCCACAAGAACGACCGCCAUGCCACUUUUCUGUUCAAGUGAGCACAGCACAACAAGGAGAGACCUGAAAAUAGCUGUGCAGUGACGCUCCCCAUCCCACCUGAGAGUUUGAGAGGAGCUGCAGAGAAUAAUGGGAGAAAUACAGGUGUGGCAAGCUUGUAGCGUCAUACCCAAGAAGACUCAAGGCUGUAAUC